rnacentral:rRNA from 1 species
CCUACGGGAGGCAGCAGUGAGGAAUAUUGGUCAAUGGGCUUACGCCUGAACCAGCCAAGUCGCGUGAGGGAAGACUGCCCUAUGGGUUGUAAACCUCUUUUGUCAGGGAGCAACGCCGGCUACGUGUAGCCGGACUGAGAGUACCUGAAGAAAAAGCAUCGGCUAACUCCGUGCCAGCAGCCGCGGUAAUACGGAGGUUGCGAGCUUUAUCCGGAUUUAUUGGGUUUAAAGGGUGCGUAGGCGGAAUGCCAAGUCAGCGGUAAAAUCGCGGGGCUCAACCUCGCUCCGCCGUUGAAACUGGCGUGCUUGAGUGGGCGAGAAGUAAGCGGAAUGCGUAGUGUAGCGGUGAAAUGCAUAGAUAUCACGAAGAACUCCAGUUGCGAAGGCAGCAUACCGGCGCCCAACUGACGCUGAGGCACGAAAGCGUGGGUAUCGAACAGGAUUAGAUACCCUGGUAGUC